rnacentral:lncRNA from 1 species
CUGUUACAUAGAGUACUCAAGAAUUUUCUUAAACACAAAAUGGACUAAAUAUGACUAGUGUUUAUACUCAAGUUUGAAGAACAGCAAGAAAGAUGAGGUACAAUACUCAUUAAAAUUUUCAUCAUGCUAAAUUCACAGAAAUACUGAAUAGAAGACAGAAAAAGGGGCAAUGCCAUCAUUAAGGCAAGGUCUCUACUUACAGGUAAAUUGUCUUGUGAUUAUUUCCACAGAACUCUGACUUGGAUAAGGCUUGUAUCCAUUUUAUUACGAUGUUCUUCUUUUUUACAAUUUAGUUCCCCAGAGGGCAAGACCAAGGCUUGAUAAAAAUGUCACUGUAAUGAAAACUUGACCGCAAUUAUAAAGAUGACAUCAUUAUGAUGAUGAUUAUGAUAAUAAUGAUGACGAUGAUGAUGACUUUGCCAUUGCUUUGCAGAAAAGGGAUUAUAUCUUUUGUGAUGAUAUGAAUGAUACAUCUUAGCCUCUUUAUACCUAAGAUCGGAACCCUCUGAUAAUUUGUGCUGCUAUUUUAAGAUCCAGUUCCAUUCUACAACUGGCUGAAGCAUGAAGUCAACUAAAAUAAACUGAAUUGAGUGGAACUGAACUGAACUGAAGUGAAAUAAUGUGAUUUCCAGUAAACCUGACACCUU